GCUUACGGCCAUACCACCCUGAGCGCGCCUGAGCUCGUCCGAUCUUGGAAGCUAAGCAGGGUCGGGCCUGGUUAGUACUUGGAUGGGAGACUGCCUGGCAAUACCAGGUGUUGUAAGCU
ensembl:rRNA 5S_rRNA 5S ribosomal RNA